rnacentral:misc_RNA from 1 species
GUAACUGUAGCUGUCUCUGCACCUGUUGCAUUCAAAGUAGCAUGCUUUGUAAGACUUACGCUGACAUAAUACAGCAGAUAGAUCCGGCUAAGGGCCAGUUCACAAUUGGAACUGGACGGGAACCGGCCAAACCUAUCUUUGACUCAAACCGUAAAAUGUACCAGAUUGGAAUUGAACCGAAACCAAAUCAGACGGUUCUGGCCGAACCGCCUUUUUAUUUAAAAAAUUUAAAAGAAAAUCUGAAAAAAAAAAAAUUGAACCAUUCGAUUUCGACCCAGAUCGAACCAAAACCUGAACCGUGGGGGCUCACGGUUCCAGUUCCGGUUCACCCUUUUAGGUGAACUGGAACCAAGCCUGUGGCCGGAUCUAACUGCAGAGUUACAGCCCAAAAGCUAGAACCGAAAAGACCAAUUUGCAUUUGUAUACAAUUAGUCAGUUUCAACAAUUUCCCAAGCUAAAAAUAAAAUAUUGCAUCAGUUCUUUAAAGAAUAAAUUAAUAUCUAUUUUAUUUUCAUAAGAGAAAAUCCUACAUCAACUAUUAAACAAAAUAAAGUUACCAUUUGGAAAAUUAUGCAGGUGCCUUUUAAUGCAUAAAAGCUCUACGAACAAGAAACCAACAAAACUUACCUGUGCUAAGUGUAUAGCCCCACACAUACACCAAACUGAUAAAUCUUUUGCUACCUCAACCUUGGGUCAGAUUUUGGUUUUCCUUGUGAAAACAGACAAAAAUCUGACACAAGGUUAGGAUGGGAAAAGCUUAUUGGUUUAGUGUUUAUAUGGGGCCAUACACCAAGUGUAGGUAAGAAUUUUCCAAGCAUUCAAAUAUCAUUUAGAGAAAAGGAAGAACCAAAAAUUGCUCUUUUUAUGUUAUUUUAUGUCCCUGAAAUUUCAACUGACCAUCAAUAAUCUUUUCUCCUCAUUCAUGCAGAGUUUAUAAAUUCAACUGAUAAAAAUACCAUACCAUUAACAGAAAAGUCUAACCAAAAAAACUAAUAUAUUGAAAGCAUAAAUUGUAAAAAAAAUCGUGCCUCCAAUUGCUCAUGCAGUCGCU